AUUGAACGCUGGCGGCAGGCCUAACACAUGCAAGUCGAGCGGAUGAAGGGAGCUUGCUCCUGGAUUCAGCGGCGGACGGGUGAGUAAUGCCUAGGAAUCUGCCUGGUAGUGGGGGAUAACGUCCGGAAACGGGCGCUAAUACCGCAUACGUCCUGAGGGAGAAAGUGGGGGAUCUUCGGACCUCACGCUAUCAGAUGAGCCUAGGUCGGAUUAGCUAGUUGGUGGGGUAAAGGCCUACCAAGGCGACGAUCCGUAACUGGUCUGAGAGGAUGAUCAGUCACCCUGGAACUGAGACACGGUCCAGACACCUACGGGAGGAAGCAGUGGGGAAUAUUGGACAAUGGGCGAAAGCCUGAUCCAGCCAUGUCGCGUGUGUGAAGAAGGUCUUCGGAUUGUAAAGCACUUUAAGUUGGGAGGAAGGGCAGUAAGUUAAUACCUUGCUGUUUUGACGUUACCAACAGAAUAAGCACCGGCUAACUUCGUG
rnacentral:rRNA from 1 species